rnacentral:rRNA from 1 species
GACGAACGCUGGCGGCGUGCUUAACACAUGCAAGUCGAACGGAAAGGCCCUGCUUUUGUGGGGUGCUCGAGUGGCGAACGGGUGAGUAACACGUGAGUAACCUGCCCUUGUCUUUGGGAUAACUUCAGGAAACUGGGGCUAAUACCGGAUAGGAGCUCCUGCUGCAUGGUGGGGGUUGGAAAGUUUCGGCGGUUGGGGAUGGACUCGCGGCUUAUCAGCUGGUUGGUGGGGUAGUGGCUUACCAAGGCUUUGACGGGUAGCCGGCCUGAGAGGGUGAACGGCCACAUUGCGACUGCGAUACGGCGCAGACUCCUACGGGAGGCAGCAGUCGGGAAUAUUGCACAAUGGGGGGAAGCCUGAUGCAGCAACGCCGCGUGCGGGAUGACGUCCUUCGGGUUGUAAACCGCUGUCGCCUGUGACGAAGCGUGAGUGACGGUAAUGGGUAAAGAAGCACCGGCUAACUACGUG